CCGUGUUAUCAGAUACUUUGGGUCUGCCAGCUCCUGGAAGCAGGGUGAACAGGAGGCAUGAAUCUGGAGUGUCCAGCUGCCUUCAUUGUUGUCCCUUACUUGGAAGCAAAAACCAAAGACAACACUGGGAACACGCGGUUGACAGUUGGGAGAUACUUCCCCGGAGACACCUUUAGUGCUAAAUUCCUAGAGUCCUCCGUGCACUGGAAGUUAUCUAACUUACCUUUGAGAAAGGUUAUUCCUCAACGGACACUGUCGAUGGUCUGUGCCUGGGACCUGUUCUGGGAAACUAUGGAAAAGUUUUGUUUAACAUCAACAAGUCACUGCUGGGUCUCCUAGACUGUCAAUGCGUCUCUACCCAAACGAGAGGCAAUGUGUAGCUUCUGGAAACACCAUCUUCACAAGCUUUAUGGAGGAAUAACUGACAAAUGUAACUGUAUCCAUUUGAAGUGUACAACAUGAGGAUUUGAUAUGCAUAUACGUUGUGGAAUGAUUACGGAGAUCAAGAUAAUUAACACAUUUAUCACCUCACAGAGUUUAACUCUUUUUUCUUUUUGGCGGUGAGAACACUUGAGAUCUACUCAGCAAAUUUCAGACAACCCUUUCUAAUGUCCCAGUGAUGUAGCUACUCUAGUUACCACCGAACUGCAGGGCAGAUGGCUGAUCACUUUAUCUCCCGUGGGACGCACAGCAGUGCCUGGCCAGUGGCUCCUGGGGGCGGCAGAGAAGCAUCAGGGCGAGCCCCAGCCUCCGGGUGGAAGCAUCAUGUAACUCAGUUUUCCCCUGCCCUGUUCUGCGUCCCGGAUCCUCCCUCUCCUGAGGCCCCUCCUCUAAUACAUCACUUGGACAAGACUUCCUGUCUUAGGCUCUACUUCUAGAGAACUUGACCUAGGCCAGUAAGGUAAAUGGAAAUACAUGAAUAAGGUGACAGAAAUGAGUCCAAAUAUAUUAGUAAUUGUAAAUAGGAAAAAUUCAGGAUUCAAAAAUAAACAGAUUUCAGAUUGGAUCAAAAGUAAAAACCAAAUGCAUGAAUAAAAACCAAGCUAUC